rnacentral:miRNA from 1 species
GGUCUCACUAUGCAAUUUAGGCUGGCUUUGAACUCACUAUGUAGCCCAGGCUGGCCUUGAACUCACAGUGAUCCUCCUGCCUCAGCCUCCUGAGUGCUGGGAUUACAGGCAUGUGCCAC